rnacentral:rRNA from 1 species
UACGGGGGGUGCAAGCGCUAUUCGGAAUCAUUGGACGUAAAGGGCGCGUAGGCGGUCUCUUAUGUCAGAUGUGAAAGCCCUCGGCUCAACCGAGGAAGUGCAUUUGAAACUGAGAGACUUGAGUAUGGGAGAGGGAAGCGGAAUUCCUGGUGUAGCGGUGAAAUGCGUAGAUAUCAGGAGGAACACCGGUGGCGAAGGCGGCUUCCUGGACCAAUACUGACGCUGAGGCGCGAAGGCGUGGGGAGCAAACAGG